rnacentral:rRNA from 1 species
GAUGAACGCUGGCGGCGUGCCUAAUACAUGCAAGUCGAGCGAACGGACGAGAAGCUUGCUUCUCUGAUGUUAGCGGCGGACGGGUGAGUAACACGUGGAUAACCUACCUAUAAGACUGGGAUAACUUCGGGCAACCGGAGCUAAUACCGGAUAAUAUUUUGAACCGCAUGGUUCAAAAGUGAAAGACGGUCUUGCUGUCACUUCUAGAUGGAUCCGCGCUGCAUUAGCGAGUUGGUAAGGUAACGGCUUACCAAGGCAACGAUGCAUAGCCGACCUGAGAGGGGGAUCGGCGACAGUGGAAGUGAGACACGGUCCAGACUCCUACGGGAGGCAGCAGUAGGGAAUCUUCCGCAAUGGGCGAAAGCCUGACGGAGCAACGCCGCGUGAGUGAUGAAGGUCUUCGGAUCGUAAAACACUGUUAUUAGGGAAGAACAUAUGUGUAAGUAGCUGUGCACAUCUUGACGGUACCUAAGCAGAAAGCCACGGCUAACUACGUG